rnacentral:rRNA from 1 species
GCCAGACUCCUACGGGAGGCAGCAGUCGGGAAUAUUGCGCAAUGGAGGAAACUCUGACGCAGUGACGCCGCGUAUAGGAAGAAGGUUUUCGGAUUGUAAACUAUUGUCGUGAGGGAAGAAAUUGACAGUACCUCAGGAGGAAGCUCCGGCUAACUACGUGCCAGCAGCCGCGGUAAUACGUAGGGAGCGAGCGUUAUCCGGAAUUAUUGGGCGUAAAGGGUGCGUAGAUGGUUGAUAUAAGUCUUUUGUAAAAAUGCUAGGCUCAACCUAGUAGGGCAAAAGAUACUGAUGAACUAGAGUACGGCAGAGGCAAGUGGAACUACAUGAGUAGCGGUAAAAUGCGUAAAUAUAUGUAAGAACACCGGUGGCGAAGGCGGCUUGCUGGGCCUGUACUGACAUUGAGGCACGAAAGCGUGGGGAGCAAACAGGAUUAGAUACCCCGGUACAA